rnacentral:rRNA from 1 species
AUGGACGAAAGUGAUUGCAUCCAAUUCUUGAUUGAUCGAAUUAUUACGAAAAUUGGUGGAUGGGAAGAAAAAUUGUUAUCUGCAUGAGGAAAGGAAAAUUUUCUCAAAUUUGUUGUACAAGAUAUCCCAACUUAUGCCAUGUCCGUCUUUAAAAUUUCUAAAUAAAAGUGUAAAGGGAUCAUUGACGCGAUGUCGCAAUUUUGUUGGGCUGACAAGGACAGUCAGAAGAGAAUGCAUUGGAUGACGCGGUGGCAUAUGCGUGUCCCAAAAGAUAAAGGAGGUACAAGUUUUCGAGAUACAGAAGCAAUUUGGCUUUGUUAG